UAGUGGCGAACGGGUGAGUAACACGUGGGCAAUCUGCCCUUCACUCUGGGACAAGCCCUGGAAACGGGGUCUAAUACCGGAUACGACCCGGAAGCGCAUGCUUCUGGGUGGAAAGCUCCGGCGGUGAAGGAUGAGCCCGCGGCCUAUCAGCUUGUUGGUGGGGUAAUGGCCUACCAAGGCGACGACGGGUAGCCGGCCUGAGAGGGCGACCGGCCACACUGGGACUGAGACACGGCCCAGACUCCUACGGGAGGCAGCAGUGGGGAAUAUUGCACAAUGGGCGAAAGCCUGAUGCAGCGACGCCGCGUGAGGGAUGACGGCCUUCGGGUUGUAAACCUCUUUCAGCAGGGAAGAAGCGAAAGUGACGGUACCUGCAGAAGAAGCGCCGGCUAACUACGUGCCAGCAGCCGCGGUAAUACGUAGGGCGCAAGCGUUGUCCGGAAUUAUUGGGCGUAAAGAGCUCGUAGGCGGCUUGUCACGUCGGAUGUGAAAGCCCGGGGCUUAACCCCGGGUCUGCAUUCGAUACGGGCUAGCUAGAGUGUGGUAGGGGAGAUCGGAAUUCCU
rnacentral:rRNA from 1 species